GAUGAACGCUGGCGGCGUGCUUAACACAUGCAAGUCGAACGAUGAAGCCCAGCUUGCUGGGUGGAUUAGUGGCGAACGGGUGAGUAACACGUGAGUAACCUGCCCUUAACUCUGGGAUAAGCCUGGGAAACUGGGUCUAAUACCGGAUAGGAGCGCCUACCGCAUGGUGGGUGUUGGAAAGAUUUAUCGGUUUUGGAUGGACUCGCGGCUUAUCAGCUUGUUGGUGAGGUAAUGGCUCACCAAGGCGACGACGGGUAGCCGGCCUGAGAGGGUGACCGGCCACACUGGGACUGAGACACGGCCCAGACUCCUACGGGAGGCAGCAGUGGGGAAUAUUGCACAAUGGGCGAAAGCCUGAUGCAGCGACGCCGCGUGAGGGAUGACGGCCUCCGGGUUGUAAACCUCUUUCAGUAGGGAAGAAGCGAAAGUGACGGUACCUGCAGAAGAAGCACCGGCUAACUACGUG
rnacentral:rRNA from 1 species